UUCUCACAAGAUCUGAUUUUUUUUUAAGGGGCCUUCCUCCUUUUGCUCAGCACUUCUCCUUUCUGCUGCCAUGUGAAAACGGAUGUGUUUGCUUCCCCUUUUGCUGUGAUUAUAAGUUUCCUGAGGCCUCCCAAGUCAUGUUGAACUGUUGUCUCCCCACAGAACAGCAGCCGCCGCCACUGCAGAGAGCCACAGAAUGGACCAAAGACAAAAGCCAAGGUGGAGGAUAAAAUCUUCUCCACCCCUGCUUGCCUGGGGCCUUAGCUGAGCAUCAUUGUUGGAAUAACUCAACCAAUGUUGAUGUGAUACCACUGGCAGCUCUUCCUUGGGUGUGAAAAAUCUGUGGCAAACAAGCUUCCUAACACGAACUUAUCUCCUCAGUGCUCACAGUUAAAACAAGUUUUCCCAAAAAAUUAAUGAGUAUUUCCAUAAGGGAUGAAAAUAUUGUAAAAACUUGAAUCACACUUCAAGACAAAAGCCUGAAGAUGGAGCUUUGAGUCCUGACUCCCUGCCUGAGGUUCUCAUCUGUGGAAUGUUCCAGCAGUUGCAUCCAUCUUCCUGUUUUCUGUAUGGUUGCUUGCCCCCUAAGUGAACACAUUUACCUCUUCUACAGAAAGUCCUGGAUUGAAAGAAGCUGUUUUGGGGGACCUGAGCUGUCACCACUUAUUUCCUCAGAGAGAUUUGGCAGAAGGGGUGGCUGUGUAGCCCUGUCCUCCCCCUGCUCCUCAGCAAAACCUUCUGGGAGAGGCUUUCCCCAGGGAAGGAGGAGGAAUGCUCUUCCCGCGAGGGUGACAAACAGCAGCUGAGGCUCCUGGUUAGAGCCUCCAACAAGCUCUCAGUGCCCAACUCUGGGGGAUUUCUUCAAGGCAAAACAGAAACAGCUAAUUCAGAAAUCUCUAUGCUUUUAUGCUGAUUUUGUUACUUAAGUUGCUUUAAUACCUGUAUGAAAGCAGAAUAUAAAAUUAGCAAAUGUACUUUUCUAAAUCAUUUCAUUUUCUUUCAAAAAUAACUUAUUUUUUUUUUUUUUUUACCUGAAGUGAUCAACAUUGUACGUUCUGAAAGUGUAAAGGGACUGAAAAGACAGGCUGAAAAAUAAAGUAAGAAGAAGAUUGUACAACAUUUCUAGCUGGCUUUUUUUCCUUUGAUAAGGGAACCCAUGCAGUCAGCUAAGAGCUGCCACCAAGAUCAAGGCCCUGCAGCGCACCGAUGAGCAGGAUCACCGGGAGCGCUGUGUUUACAGGGAUUUCAUUUUUCAUUUUGAAGCGUUGCCACGUCACUUUCCCAAGUUUUGCGGGGCAGAGUGAGGCUUCAUCAAGACAUGCAUCCAUGGACUGGGCGAAAUUCCAGUGUCCAUUAUUUCCUGGGAAAAGCGUGUAAGAGGCUCUCUCUAUCGCUCUUCUUACUUCUGCAUCCCCCAGAACACAUAUACACAGUCACAGUCACACAUGUUUGCACCAAACACGGCCUCACUCUCACAAGACACUCAUGAAGAUACAUUGACAGUCUCACAGGGUCACAAACAUGCACUAGAAAUCUGACACACACACACACAUCCAAUCUCUCUCUGACACACACACACUAUCUCACACACACAUGCUCCUCUGCUCUGCUGAGUCACCAGUCUUGGGUCUCAGCCUCAGCACGUGUGGAGCCUGCCCUGUUGGAGGCUGUUGAACACAGAGGGAAGCUGAGGUUGCACUGUCUACCUCCUCAUUACCAUAAUGAUUGCGUUCAGCAUCCUUCAUCAGCACAGGAGCACUAAGGGUUGGAGAGGACGUGCAUCACCUUUACUCGCACAGCUGCUCACAUCGGGCACUUGAGACGUGUAUUUGCUGGGACACUUGGGAAUGAAAUGGCUUGUGGAAUUUAGUCUCGUGUCAGUCUUCAGCUUUAAGUUUCAAGCGAUCCUGCUCUGGGAAUAAAUAUUGAGUACGACGUAGAAAACAGCUUUUCUUCAAGGACCUCUGAAAGCCAUGUAAGCACCAUUCUUUGAUAAACAUUCUCAUCCCAACUGAUGGAGGGAAAAGCCAGGAACAGGGUCCCAGGGAGGCCAAAGGGGUUCCCGACUGGGAAUGAGAAGCCAUCCCUUCAGGACUCUGCUGUGCCCCGACAGCAGGCACAGGAGGCGUGGUCCCUGCCUUUCCCCCACCUCACCUGCCCUUUCCCGCUGGAGUAAAUGGGAUGAGAGCUCUGCUCAAGCCUCAGCCUCCAGGACUCUCCAUCAUACCAGCUGCCUCAGGCAAAUUAAGCACAGCAAAUGCUGCUCUGUUCAGGGCUCCUCCCUGUUUAUUGCAAGACGGUGGUUCUCAAACCUGACCUUCUGGGACACUUAACGAUUACCCUUGACUUUUGAAUCUCUCCAUGAUAUCUGAUAACAGUCGAGUGUGGAUUUCUUGGUGAAGUGAGGUCUCUCCCUCCACCUUUGCCCAUGGAAUUGAGUGAGGGUCACCCCUCAUUGACUCUGCGGAGAGCUGGUGCCUCCUACAGCAGAACAAGCAGGAAAUAGCCCAGCAGAGAGCAGCUUACAAGCCAGAGGGGCAGCAGAGGCAGCACGGGGCAGAGCUGGGCCGUGAGGAAACUGAGCAUCAGCUGCUGGAGCAGCUGCCGUGAGGGAACUGGCUGGGUUUAUCUCAAGAGGCUGUGCUGCUGGGGCCGACCAUUGGUGGGAGGUCCGAUGCUCACCGGGACGUAAGGCCACCUGUGCAUGAACCGUGUGGGAGCUGGUGUCCUUUGUUUCAACAAACAGAACUGCAUUUCCAACUAAAAAACCCAAGUGUGAAAUUUGUAGACACCGUGUAUCAGAGGGAAGAACUUGAGAAGAUUAACUAAACUUCUGGAACCUCAACCGCUCUCCCUUGUGCACCUCACGCCUCGAUGAGAUGAUGAAAUGUGAUACCGCGCAUAUCGAUGGUGGGAAAAAUGUUACCCACCAUCGUGUCAUUCAGAGCAUUUGUCAGACGUUUAUUAAAGUCUCGUUUCAGGUUUGGAGGGUACUAUUUAGAAGUCUUAAUUUCAGAAUUGGAUCCUAUAAUUAUCUUAGGGUUUAAUAACCCAUCAAAAGCAUAGCAGAGAAGGGAAAAAGAGUAUAAUUUUGCCUGCUCAUAUGAGGAACUAUUUAUUGAUUUCCCUUGGGGUCCUGAGCAGAAGCAGCUGUGUUAAGAAAUACUUUGGCUCGAAGUACCCAGCUGUUGUAAGUGGUUUUGGGUGUGGACUCUGACGGCCAUGGUCCUAAAUGAUUCAAAUUGUAAGAUGGCAGGCAGAGGUCACACUUUUCUGAUAAAUGUUAAAGUUAGUUACCUUCAUUAUAUCAACAUCAUCAAAAUCAA